CCCACACGGGACUCCCGGUCUGUGGCGCGUUCUGAUUGGACGCGGCUUUGGCGGGAAGGUGCACGCGGGAGGCGGAGCGCAACGGGUCUCAUUCGGUCUCCUCAAACUGCCCCUCCCGCCCCUCACGCAGCCUGCAGCAGGCGUGGCCUGGUCUACGCCGCCUCACCUCGCGGUUCUCCGCCCGGAGCCUCCUGGAGUACAAAUCUGUGACCUGAAUGAGAACAACGGAAGGCCCUGGUUAACACUGAUGUCUCAGUCACUAUGAAGGCCAGCUCUGUAGGACUUCCACCUGGUUGACAUGGGGCCUCAGUGCACUGAUGCAUUGAAAGGCACCUUGAAGUUGAAGUGGCCCAUGGGAGAGAGAAGAAAGUCACACAACACAUAGUCAUUCAGAUGGUCUGAAGACGGCCAGCAGUUCUUUUUUGUACUCCACUCUGCGGGCAGCCGUCUUUAUGCAAAGCCCUGGAAGGAUGACCUUCACUGAACUGGCAAGAUCAUCAAACUCUCUGUUCACCUGGAUAUCCUGAGGAGAAACCCAUCACUAGGAAGAAUGUUAAGACUUUUUGAGAACUUGACCAUUUUACUCACACACACACAAGGUCUAGAGCCUCAUAGGGUAUCAGUUUGUCCCAAGUUUGAAGGAUUGAAACUGUAAACACAUCUCUGAACAGGCUUUGACUCAAGCCUGGGUUGAAAUCAGAGGGAAAAUGAGCAGUGAUUUGUAACUAGAGUCUUCGUGAUUUGUAUUUGGGGAUUCUCUCCUUUGUGUUUAACCACCUUAGAAAAGAGUGAUAUUUUUUCUAUAUUAAAAGGCAAAAUUGGAACUUC